rnacentral:rRNA from 1 species
GAUGAACGCUGGCGGCGUGCCUAAUACAUGCAAGUCGAGCGAACAGACGAGGAGCUUGCUCCUCUGACGUUAGCGGCGGACGGGUGAGUAACACGUGGAUAACCUACCUAUAAGACUGGGAUAACUUCGGGAAACCGGAGCUAAUACCGGAUAAUAUAUUGAACCGCAUGGUUCAAUAGUGAAAGACGGUUUUGCUGUCACUUAUAGAUGGAUCCGCGCCGCAUUCGCUAGUUGGUAAGGUAACGGCUUACCAAGGCAACGAUGCGUAGCCGACCUGAGAGGGUGAUUGGCCACACGGGAACUGAGACACGGUACAGACUCCUACGGGAGGCAGCAGUAGGGAAUCUUCCGCAAUGGGCGAAAGCUUGACGGAGCAACGCCGCGUGAGUGAUGAAGGUCUUCGGAUCGUAAAACUCUGUUAUUAGGGAAGAACAAAUGUGUAAGUAACUAUGCACGUCUUGACGGUACCUAAUCAGAAAGCCACGGCUAACUACGUG